GCGCUCACCUCAGCAGCACACAUACUAAGAUUGCAAGGAUACAGAGAUUAUCAUGGCCCCUGGGCAAGGAUGACACAAAGUGUCCCUCAUUUUAAAACAAUGUGU
ensembl:snRNA U6 U6 spliceosomal RNA